rnacentral:tRNA from 1 species
GGUAGCAUGGCUUAGUGGAAAGAGCACAGGCUUGGAAGUCAGAGGACGUGGCUUCUAAUCCCACCUCUGCCA